ACACAUGCAAGUCGAAUGGUAACAGGAAACAGCUUGCUGUUUCGCUGACGAGUGGCGGACGGGUGAGUAAUGUCUGGGAAACUGCCUGAUGGAGGGGGAUAACUACUGGAAACGGUAGCUAAUACCGCAUAACGUCGCAAGACCAAAGAGGGGGACCUUCGGGCCUCUUGCCAUCAGAUGUGCCCAGAUGGGAUUAGCUAGUAGGUGGGGUAACGGCUCACCUAGGCGACGAUCCCUAGCUGGUCUGAGAGGAUGACCAGCCACACUGGAACUGAGACACGGUCCAGACUCCUACGGGAGGCAGCAGUGGGGAAUAUUGCACAAUGGGCGCAAGCCUGAUGCAGCCAUGCCGCGUGUAUGAAGAAGGCCUUCGGGUUGUAAAGUACUUUCAGCGGGGAGGAAGGGAGUAAAGUUAAUACCUUUGCUCAUUGACGUUACCCGCAGAAGAAGCACCGGCUAACUCCGUGCCAGCAGCCGCGGUAAUACGGAGGGUGCAAGCGUUAAUCGGAAUUACUGGGCGUAAAGCGCACGCAGGCGGUUUGUUAAGUCAGAUGUGAAAUCCCCGGGCCCAACCUGGGAACUGCAUCUGAUACUGGCAAGCUUGAGUCUCGUAGAGGGGGGUAGAAUUCCCAGGUGUAGCGGUGAAAUGCGUAGAGAUCUGGAGGAAUACCGGUGGCGAAGGCGGCCCCCUGGACGAAGACUGACGC
rnacentral:rRNA from 1 species